UUGCAUUGGAAUAAGACUGCGAGGCGUAGCUAGUUUUCAAAAUGCUCAGGAAGCUGAUUAUAAACUCGCAUAAAACAUGUAAACAUAAAAUUACCGAUAAAGUCUGCAUCGAGCGUCAUGUACUUGACUAUAACAUGCGCGUUGUUCACGAGUGUGCUACUUUAUGUUAAUAGCACUCACAUAUUUACUUUGGACAAGGACUUUAACAAAUUGAAGACAGACGAGGCGCUCGCGAAACACGUAGGAGAGAUUGUGAAGAAGCUAAAGACCUUCAAAGUGGCGGUGCAUCCUCGAAUUCGUUUGUUUUAUCAGCUUCUAAAACGCGGCAUGUCAGACUUCGCCCAAAGAAAUUCGGACUCUCUGUAUAACCCACGCGUGUACCAGAUCGAGGAUAACAAAGCCUAAAAGAUGCCUCAUCAUUUACAAAUCUAAUGUGUAAAACUUUUCUACCAUAUUAAAGCAUAACUCUAAC